rnacentral:tRNA from 1 species
AUUUAUAUAGUUUACAUAAAACAUUAUAUUUUCAUUAUAAAAAAAUAUUUCUAUAUUAUAAAUA